rnacentral:rRNA from 1 species
UACGUAGGGUGCGAGCGUUGUCCGGAAUUAUUGGGCGUAAAGGGCUCGUAGGCGGUCUGUUGCGUCAGGAGUGAAAACUCGGGGCUUAACCCCGAGCCUGCUUCUGAUACGGGCAGACUAGAGGUAUGCAGGGGAGAACGGAAUUCCUGGUGUAGCGGUGAAAUGCGCAGAUAUCAGGAGGAACACCGGUGGCGAAGGCGGCAUCCUGGACCGGCAUUGACGCUGAGGCGCGAAAGCUAGGGGAGCAAACGGG